GUAAAAAAUCUAGCCUACUUAUAAUUAUACAAACAAUAAUUCUAAAAAAUAAUCAAUUAAAACAUUUUACUACUUUAGUAUAGGCGAUAGAAAAUUUUAUUAGCGCAAUAGAAAUAGUACUGCAAAGGAAAGAUGAAAUAGAAAUUAAACAAAACAUAAAAACAACAAAAAGCAAAGAUUAACUCUUCUACCUUUUGCAUAAUGGUCUAGUAAGUUUAACCUAACAUAAAGAAUUUAAGUUAGACAUCCCGAAACUAAACGAGCUACUCCGAAGCAACAGAAUGAGCUAACCCUUCUCUGUGGCAAAAGAGUGGGACGACUUCCGAGUAGUGGUGAUAAACCUAACGAGCUUAG
rnacentral:rRNA from 1 species